CAGUCGCCGCGGUAAUACGAAGGGGGCUAGCGUUGCUCGGAAUGACUGGGCGUAAAGGGCUCGCAGGCGGUUUCUUAAGUCUGAUGUGAAAGCCCCCGGCUCAACCGGGGAGGGUCAUUGGAAACUGGGAAACUUGAGUGCAGAAGAGGAGAGUGGAAUUCCACGUGUAGCGGUGAAAUGCGUAGAGAUGUGGAGGAACACCAGUGGCGAAGGCGACUCUCUGGUCUGUAACUGACGCUGAGGAGCGAAAGCGUGGGGAGCGAACAGGAUUAGAUACCCCCGUAGUCCCUGUCUCUUAUAA
rnacentral:rRNA from 1 species